GGGGGUGUAGCUCAGGGGUAGAGCAUUUGACUGCAGAUCAAGAGGUCCCUGGUUCAAAUCCACGUGCCCCCU
rfam:Ictidomys tridecemlineatus contig045223, whole genome shotgun sequence.